rnacentral:rRNA from 1 species
GCUUGAUUUUCACCGAAGCUUGCUUCACCGAAAAUCAAGAGUAGCGAACGGGUGAGUAACGCGUGGGUAACCUACCUAUCAGCGGGGGAUAACUAUUGGAAACGAUAGCUAAUACCGCAUAACAAUGUUGGAUGCAUAUUCGACAUUUGAAAGUACCAACUGGUACACUGAGAGAUGGACCCGCGUUGUAUUAGCUAGUU